UGUACACUGAGGAUGCAAGUAGAUCUAAAAAAAUCGGGAAGGCAUCUUAAUCUGUUUUGUCAUUACUGGCAUUAUGCUCAGGAGAGAUCACACAGGUUAAUUACAACUGCAGGUGAAUUGAAAACAACUGACUACUCAAUACCCAUCCAUGAUUUGAUUCAGUUUCCCAUCCAGAGAGCUUCUGCCUAGCAAGUUUGAUUUCUGAGAUGAGCUUUUCAAAUUGCUUGUAUAAAGGCAACCAAAUGUCUGUACUCUAAAAACCUUCCUUAGGUAUUUCACAAACAUUACUGCACUUCUAAAAGAGACAGCACAGAAACAGGGACUGUGAAGAUGAGUUUCACAUCCAUGACCGGAUAUUGACUUAACAUCUCAAUUCUGAAGACCUGCAUUGUGAAGAAGUUGGAAUACUGUGGUAUGUAAAGAUAUAUAUUAAUUUAUUCUGCUGAGGAAAUAUAAAUGGUCUCACAUCUCCAGUAGUGACUUUUCCAUGUAGAUGUUAUAUCACAAAACCAGCUGUCAUUAAUGACGUAAUUGAUCUAUCCUUCUGGGAGAAGAAAGUGGCCUAAGUUUUCAAAAGUGAUUAGUGAUUUUGACUUGAGACAACUUUAAGGGGUCCUGGAAGUGGGUAUUUAAUUUCAAUUAAGUCGUGUCCAUUUGGGCACCCAAAAUCACUAGUCACCUUUGAAAAUUUGGGCCAAAAUGCUGAACUGUUUAAAGAUCUUUUAUGUUUUGUUUGUGCAAUGAAAACCCAGUAUGCAAUGUGUUUUGUUGUGCCUUCACUUAUUUGGUCUCUAUAAUAGUGUCUUGCAUUUUUUGUAGUAUACUGAAAUGCUAUAUUGUUUGAGUGCAUGUUAGUGACAAAUUUCAGAAUUCUUUAAUUUGGUGUGAUUUCAGUGCAUAUGGUGGCAGUUCUUUUAACCCCUCCUAGCAUCACAUUCCAAAAUACUACUGAACAUUGAAACAAACUUUCUACAAACAGAAAGAAUUUAUGGGACAACAACAAGAAAUAAGCCAGUAACAGAACAGGUCGAAAAAUUAUACAUAUUUUUUGCAGGAAAAUCUUUUUCUUUUCUUUUUUUCCCCCCAAUUUUUGGGAAACAUUUCCUGUUUUUAACAAUGAAUAAAUAAUACCAGAUUCUUCAGUUUUCACAAAAAGAAACAUUACACAACAAACAAAUGUUCAGUUAGACAAAAAAUGGAGACACUGGUUGAUGGAUGAACCUCUUAAAGUUGAGCAAUUUGAUUUGGAUAAGCACCCAGACACUUGAGCUAUUCAUCUGAACCUAUGUAGCUCUUGAAUCAGCAAAAUCGAGCUUUAAAUCUUGGAAGAAAAAGCUUUAUCCUGAGGAUUCUGGCUUUUCUUGUUGAUGCUUGAGUUAGAACUACUAUGGCAAGUGGCUCACACCAUUCAAGAUUUUAUUUUUUUAUAUUACUCAGUUUUUUCCCAGACUCUAAAAAUGGUUCAGUUCAGAUUUGGUUUGAACUUUGGUUAAGCACUCAGAUACAAGAGGCAUUCAGUAAACACCACAGAGCAAUACAUAGAUAGUUUGGGGCCAGUUCCUAUUCUAACAAAACCAUAUUCACCCAUAGCUGUUGGAAUUGUAUGUUAUUUUCACAGGUUCUUGGAAACUUAAAUGCAAAGCUUAAUUCCAUAAGCAAUUCCAUUCCAUCAUCACCCCCACCCUAUCAGAGGGCUGUCAUUAUAGGGUUUUACAUGACAACUGAUUAUCGUAUUAACAAACAACAGAAUUUAUACCAUAUGUACGAUUUCUAAUCUGCAAAGCUCUUUACAAACAUUAACUAAUGAAGCCUCACAACAGCCAUGUGAGUAAACUAAGUAUUAAUGCUGUUCCAGAGAUGUGGGAAUCGAUACGGAGGUUUUCAGGGUGAUUUUUCAAUGAUCGUUUUGGGACGCACAAUAGGAAAUGGACAUGCCUAAAAUGGGACGAAUUUUCAAAGUGGUGAGUGGGCAUUCCAAAAAUUCGGAGAGUUUUGCCCCUGUUGUGGGCUGUUUCAGAUGCCUGGGAUCUUUGAAUCUAGCUGAGCAGCUCUGCCUACCAGUUGCUCAAUGCAAGAGCAUUUCUGCCUUGCUCCAGCACCCUAAAAUGGUGACCACCAGAUGAGGGAGAGAACACACUGAGAUCCCGGACACAUCAGUGGUAUCUCAAAUGCUUCUACUGCUUGGAUCAGCAUGGGCAAGUCAUCACCUCAAACACACUCGGCCUGCUUAGUACAGCUUCUGGAGAUGGACGGCAUCACAAGAUCAGGUACUGCAGCAGCAUAUUUUUUAACCUAAAUAGGUGCAUUUCAAAUAAAAAUGCAAGACUAUAUCAGAAAAUCUCUCUAGUCAGCAUCAUCUCAGGCCACUGAACACCAUGCAAAAGCUUUAAAACAAACAAACAAACUCCAGCUUGUCAACAGAAUUAUUUCCUGCUGACCCGCUAAAGUAUCUGUCCUGGCUACAUUUGAAAAAAUAGGAGUAAAUAGCUUGUAUUAUUAAUUUAAGUUGUAUUAAUCUGUCAGUGGUAUCAGUUAAUUCAGUCUUCUGGUACUAAUAAGUUCAUUAACAACAACACCACCUUCAUUUUUAGCCCCCCCCUAGCAACAUAGAAUCACACCCUCAUCUCCACUGCCAAGAACAUAUGUGUUGUUAGGUUUAUUAAUGUUACUGGAAGUAGAAAGGGACAUGGAACAGCGUUCACAUCACACUCCCAGUCAGUACCUGGCCCAGGCCAGGGAAGCUAGUGAUCCAACCAGCGGAGCAAAUUUGGUGAUGAAUCCUGGUCA